UACGUAGGGACCAAGGCGUUGUCCGGAAUCAUUGGGCGUAAAGAGCGUGUAGGCGGCCUGUUAAGUCUUGCGUGAAAUCUCGGGGCUCAACCCCGAGCGGUCGUCGAGAAACUGGCAGGCUAGAGUGCGGGAGAGGGAGAGGUGGAAUUCCUGGUGUAGCGGUGGAAAUGCGCAGAUAUCAGGAAGAACACCCGUGGCUAAGGCGGCUCUCUAGUACGGGUACUGACGCUGAGACGCGAAAGCGUGGGGAGCGAACAGGAUUAAGAAACCCC
rnacentral:rRNA from 1 species